rnacentral:rRNA from 1 species
GACGAACGCUGGCGGCGUGCUUAACACAUGCAAGUGGAGCGACGAACCAGGGCUUGCCCUGGGGCAAAGCCGCGAACGGGUGAGUAACACGUGGGUAACCCACCCCGAUGAUCGGGACAACCCGGGGAAACUCGGGCUAAUACCGAAUGUGCCUUCAGUUCAUGAGGACUGAAAGUAAAGAUAGCUUCGGCCUUCGCAUCGGGCCGGGCCCGCGGCCCAUUAGCUUGUUGGUGAGGUAACGGCUCACCAAGGCGACGAUGGGUAGCUGGUCUGAGAGGACGAUCAGCCACACUGGGACUGAGACACGGCCCAGACUCCUACGGGAGGCAGCAGUGGGGAAUCUUGCACAAUGCGCGAAAGCGUGAUGCAGCAACGCCGCGUGGGGGAAGAAGGCCUUCGGGUUGUAAACCCCUUUCAGUUGGGACGAAGCUUCAGCGGUGAAUAGCCGCUUGGAGUGACGGUACCUUCACAAGAAGCCCCGGCUAACUUCGUGCCAGCCGCCGCGGUAAGAC